GACGAACGCUGGCGGCGUGCUUAACACAUGCAAGUCGAACGGAAAGGCCCUGCUUGCAGGGUACUCGAGUGGCGAACGGGUGAGUAACACGUGGGUGAUCUGCCCUGCACUUCGGGAUAAGCCUGGGAAACUGGGUCUAAUACCGGAUAGGAGCCAUUUUUAGUGUGAUGGUUGGAAAGUUUUUUCGGUGUAGGAUGAGCUCGCGGCCUAUCAGCUUGUUGGUGGGGUAAUGGCCUACCAAGGCGGCGACGGGUAGCCGGCCUGAGAGGGUGGACGGCCACAUUGGGACUGAGGGACGGCCCAGACACCUACGGGAGGCAGCAGUGGGGAAUAUUGCACAAUGGGCGCAAGCCUGAUGCAGCGACGCCGCGUGGGGGAUGACGGCCUUCGGGUUGUAAACUCCUUUCGCUAGGGACGAAGCAUUUUGUGACGGUACCUAGAUAAGAAGCACCGGCUAACUACGUG
rnacentral:rRNA from 1 species